CUCUCUCUCUCUCAACCUCGCUGCCACUCUCCGAAGGAUUUCUUCCCCAAAUCCGACGACGCAUCUUUCCGGCGAGCAUCAUCUUUCCAGCGAGCAUCUCCUAAGCCAACCUCUCGACAUUGUUGGCAAUGGAAAAUACAUUGUGGACAUGCACACCGCCUGUUUGAUAGUUGGUGUAGGAGAGAGAAAUGUAAGGACUAAGAAGGAGAGAGGGAAAUCACCCAUCUAAGCGGGUCUAUCUAAGGGUUUAUGGGUGUAAUUGUAUAAUCAUACAGCCCCAAGGAUGUAUAAAUGGUAAGUGAUAAAUGAUCAAAAUUCUAAAAGCAAAAUCAGAUAAUUUAUGUCGUCUAACCAUAUAAAUUUUCAGUUAUGCCCUCAUGAAGAAUGAGUCAGCAAUUUGGAUGAUCUGGAUUUUUGUGCCAUGAGUACUGUUGAAGAGUCAACACUAUUUUUUCAAUGGUGGGAAACUAUUAUAAGUGUCUAAACCUUUGUCCGCAUCUAAGAUGGAGACCCUCUUAAGCCGAUGUUACCCUUAUUCAAUGAACCACGCUAGCCUGUUACCCGACUUGUUCUGAUACUCUGCCUUGCAUUAUACUCAAAACCCAAAAAUCAUUAUUAUAAAAAAACUCAUAUAAAAACACCACAAGAAAUAGUUAAGGCUAUUUGGUAGAAAGAAAAGUUGGAGGUUCGUCUAUCUUAUUCUGGCCUAUAGCUAUUAGGUGAGCAAUCCAUUGUUUGUUGAGAGAUAUUCCCAACAUGAACCCAAAAAGAUCAAGAAGAUUGGACAGAUCCCUCUUUCUAAUAGUUAUUUGGGUCCUCCUUGUCUAGGUUCUUCUCUCCUCCCUUUCCUCCCUCUACAUGAUGCAUGACAUGCAGCUCCUGAAAUCAGACGUGCUGAAUUAACAGAAUGUUUGAUUUGUGGACACUUGUUUGCUGAAAUAGGACAAUUAGAUAUCUUACUAUUGAUGUGUUUGGUUUAUGAUGCAUCUAAACUCGGGCCUAUAGUUUUCUAGUUCAAAUUGAAUUUACUCUCAUUCCACAUGUACAGUUUCUUGAUGCCUGAGUCUUAGUGCUCUGCUAAAGCCUUUCUUCACUUUUUCCAUUCUUUAUAUGUUUCCUUGACGUAGAUGUGGGUGUAGGAGAUGAAUUGCUACAACACUUAAGGGCCCACCAUGAUAGCUACAAGCUGAAAUCACUGAAUGUUUUUUACAUCCUUUAUCUGAGUAGAAAUAUUUCCAUUCCCGUUGUUCAAUCAUGUUUGAAUAAGUGAAGACCUACUAUUUUUUUGGUCUUUCUAGAUAUUCUAUAAGCUUGAAGAGUAAAUUUGGAGAGAUGCACUCUUAGAGUUAGAAGGUGAUAUGAUUUUGUUAUCUGAACCUGAAAGCCAUGCAUUUUUAUUUUUUUAUUUUCAUUUCAAAUCUUUCUUUCAUACAUAUAUAAAUAUUUGUAACCUGCAUAUUCAUACCUUCGAACAUACUUUCACUACAACCUUCUUUGUAAAAAAAUGUACAUGGAAUUCAUCUGAUGUUGUGAUAUUUGCAAGUGCGUAUUGCUCGCAUUUUCAAUACAUAUGGGCCUUGUAUGUGUAUAGAUGAUGGGCGUGUUGUCAGUAACUUUGUUGCUCAGGUAUCACAAAGCAUUGCUUGCUGAAGAGAAAGGAAAGGCGUUGGUCAUGUGCAUGAGGUGUAUGUGUGAAGUGCAGUUUUUUGUGUAGGCAGUUUGUACUACAAAGCCUGUUCCUGAGGUUGCUUUUUUUAUUAUGAUUUGAGCAUGCUAUGAUUCAUUUUUGAAACCAUCUAACUUAAUAUGGUUGGAUUAAUUUAAACAAGUGUUGGGUGGUCUUGUUUUCCUUACAUGAGCAUUGCUUGGUCAGGGAACCCUAGGUUUUGGUUACCAAAGGCUGAUUCCACUUAAAAAUGAGUUCAUCUCAUUUCAUUUUAUAGAGAUCUCAUUUUAUUUAAUAGAUAUCAUGAUUGCUAGCUAUUGAAAUUAUAGAAACAUACAUGAUCUCUAAUACAUAGUUAUGGUUAAUAAAAAUGAGAUGAACUCAUUUACAAGUGACACCCUAACAAGCCUUAAGAUUUACCAACAGAACACACAAUAUGCCAACAAACCGGCACAUUUCUUUCCGUUUCAGAUACAGGAUUCAAACAGAGAAGCAGGUUUUGUGGGAAAAAUAAAAAAUAAAACACAAGCCCAUUCGAUCCACUAUGCACAUGGUGGAAGCAGUUUUUUUGAAUUCAUCAUCUUAAUGCUUUGAAAAGUGGAAACAAAUUAGACUUGAUUCAAUCUUCUUCCCACUCUAAACCAUCCCACCAUUGCAAAACUACUAGCAAAUCCUUAAUUCAUCAAAUGAAUUUUUCUCAUUAGGUGAAACAUACUUUUCUAGUUCUCCAUGAACACAAUAAUUUUUGCCUCAAGAUGGCUGUACUUUUCGUUUGCUCAUUGAUGGUUCCAUGUGGAUUGAUCUAGCAAGAUAAUGGUAGGUUUACAAAGGAUUUUCGUUUUGUUGAUGAGCACAAGUAUGAUAUGCCUACACCUUUUGAUUGGGGCCUCGGAAGCAUAGAAAGAGCAGAUGUUAGUCGAGCUGAUAUAGCUCUUCUUGUCCAUAAUUGGUCCCACCAAAUGAACAAUUGAUCACUAAAAGGUGGGCUCUUUGCUUUGUUGCUUGGCUGGGCAAAAUAAUAAAGACGUUUGGUUCGGUUGGACAUUGUAUAAUUACUCAGAUUUGCAUCGGUUAUUUUGCAGACUACCUUGCUGUUUCUGCCUGUGAGUGAGUUGGAUUCAAUUUUGGACAUUGAUCUUUUAUAUGUUUCGUCUACCCAGAUUGGAAGGAAGGCUGAGGGCAUUAUCAAACACAAUGCAAAUGAAAAUCCUUAUGAGCCACCUCCUGAGGCAAAUCAUUCCUGAUCUUCUUUCAUCAAUGAAUAGCAUUAGUACCCAACUUUACUCAUUUCACUAUUAAAUUAGCAAUUUCUUAUGUCAUGUAUGGGUAAAGUUGAUUUCCUAGUAAUUAGAGUAUGACAGAAGCUAUUGUCUUUGUUUCUACAAGAAACUUCUAAUAUCCAAAUGACCUCUAUAUAUGAGAAUAUGAGAUUGUUCAACAAACUGUUGUGCAUCUGCCUAGGACGUAUAUCAUUUUCUUUUUGCAGCUCCCAGCAAAAAAAAAAUAAAAAAUCAUAAAUUCCAUGGCAGUCAAUGAAGAUGGUGUGGUGGCAUCGGGAGGUAAGCAGAGUCUCUUUUAUGCUGUUGAGUUGGAAUCAACAGAAGUGGUUUGAUCAACUGGGUUAUGAUAUCAUGCCUCACUGAAUCUUAAGUCUAAUGACUGGAUUAUGCAUUUGGAACUCAAUUUCAGAUCUAGAAUACAAAGAUUUUCAUUUUA